rnacentral:rRNA from 1 species
AACUCUCAGGCUGGAGUGCCGAGAGUUAGAAACGUUCCGGCGCUGUAGGAUGUGGCUGCGGCCGAUUAGGUAGAUGGUGGGGUAACGGCCCACCAUGCCGAUAAUCGGUACGGGUUGUGAGAGCAAGAACCUGGAGACGGUAUCUGAGACAAGAUACCGGGCCCUACGGGGCGCAGCAGGCGCGAAACCUUUACACUGCACGACAGUGCGAUAGGGGGACUCCGAGUGCGAGGGCAUAUAGCCCUCGCUUUUCUGCACCGUAAGGUGGUGCAAGAAUAAGGACUGGGCAAGACCGGUGCCAGCCGCCGCGGUAAUACCGGCAGUCCAAGUGAUGGCCGAUAUUAUUGGGCCUAAAGCGUCCGUAGCUGGCCGUGCAAGUCCAUUGGGAAAUCGACCAGCCCAACUGGUCGACGUCCGGUGGAAACUACACGGCUUGGGGCCGAAAGACUCGACGGGUACGUCCGGGGUAGGAGUGAAAUCCUAUAAUCCUGGACGGACCACCAAUGGGGAAACCACGUCGAGAGGCCGGACCCGACAGUGAGGGACGAAAGCCAGGGUCUCGAACCGGAUUAGAUACCCGGGUAGUCCUGGCCGUAAACAAUGCUCGCUAGGUAUGUCUCGCGCCACGAGCACGUGAUGUGCCGUAGGGAAGCCGAUAAGCGAGCCGCCUGGGAAGUACGUCCGCAAGGAUGAAA